AGAGAAAGACAGGAUGAGUGAACCUGUCAGAGCAACAACCUUCACUUUUGUCCUAUUUUAACAAGGAAAAGUUCAACAAAUUUAUAAAAAUUGCAAAAAAAUCUCAUUCUAACUGGAAAAGACUGGCAGACCUACAACACAAAGAAAUAAAAUAAAAAAAUAGUCUUAUUCUAACUGGAAAAGAGGCUAGCAGACCUACAUUGAAAAAAAAAUAUAUAUAUAUAACUGGAGAAGACUGGCGUUUACAGUUUACAGGAAUGUACAGAAAAAGAUACCCUUUAGUCUAACUGGAAACUGGACUAACAAACCUACAACACUAAGUUUAUAAGAAUAGAGAUGAAAUUUUUAUAUUAACUGGAAAAGAGGUUAGUAGAUCUAAAACACUCAUUUCGUUGGAAUUGCAAGAAAGAUUUUUAUUUUAAGAGGAAAAGAGACUGAUACACCUACACUUACUGUAAUAUGAUUCUCAUCAUAUUAGAAUUAUAAUGUCAUUGUUGGCACCUUUGAAUGUGGAGCGGGCAGCGUGUGUCGCUGUCAUUGGUUGGAAAGAGGUGUAGAUACGGGUUGUAUUCCAGUUACUGUAUAAUUGUUAUUGGCAUAUAUGACAAGAAUUGUAAUUAUUAUUGAGAUACAUAUAUUGUUUUCUUACUUAUUAACAAGUUUGGUAUUGGUUAGUAAUGUGUAUUUGUUUGUCAAGAGGAAGUUUUCUUUUAGGGUCUGUGUAUGUAACACGGAUAUUAUUAUACCGCACUCAGGUUGUAGGGGGAAGGUAGACAGAGGUACAGUUGGUGCCUGUCAGGGGUGAGUGGCGGUUGUUUGACUGAGGUGAGUUUUGUGAUAACAUUAUUUCUCUGAUUUGUUUGACUUAUGUUAUGCCGCUGAUUGUGCAUAUUGGUUGGUGUUAUAUUGAAUGCGGUGCUGAUAGGAGGAUUUGAUUAAGUGUAACUUUGCAGCAUAGUUGGGGUAAUGCUGUAAUCAGACAUAUGGUGAAGUCUGCCUUGGCUGAUGAUGGGCGGUCAUUUUGUGAGUACUAUUUUAUAUGUAUCGUGUGUCAUUGCAAUAGUGAAUAAUAGAAUGGGAUAUGUGUUCAUCUUAUGUUAUUCUUCUGUUUACUGGGUGAAGUUACAAGAUAUUGAAGGGAGUUACAUGAUAUUGAGGUAUGCUGUGUUUAUGUUGACAUUAAAUUUGCAGGCUGAAUCAAUCAAUAAAUCAAGAUACAGCAAGUCAGCCCAAUCAUAGUCAUUAUCCUACACUACAAUUCAGCAAAAUUCGCAGAGCAGCCAUGGAUGACUUGAAAAGGGAACGUGCUAAUGCCAAGAGGAGAUUCACCAGGAAGGUGGGACUCUUCAAGGAUGCACACAAGAGAGGAGACUCCACAGCAACCCUACAAGUUGUAGGGGGAAGGUAGACAGAGGUACAGUUGGUGCCUGUCAGGGGUGAGUGGCGGUUGUUUGACUGAGGUGAGUUUUGUGAUAACAUUAUUUCUCUGAUUUGUUUGACUUAUGUUAUGCCGCUGAUUGUGCAUAUUGGUUGGUGUUAUAUUGAAUGCGGUGCUGAUAGGAGGAUUUGAUUAAGUGUAACUUUGCAGCAUAGUUGGGGUAAUGCUGUAAUCAGACAUAUGGUGAAGUCUGCCUUGGCUGAUGAUGGGCGGUCAUUUUGUGAGUACUAUUUUAUAUGUAUCGUGUGUCAUUGCAAUAGUGAAUAAUAGAAUGGGAUAUGUGUUCAUCUUAUGUUAUUCUUCUGUUUACUGGGUGAAGUUACAAGAUAUUGAAGGGAGUUACAUGAUAUUGAGGUAUGCUGUGUUUAUGUUGACAUUAAAUUUGCAGGCUGAAUCAAUCAAUAAAUCAAGAUACAGCAAGUCAG